UAUGGGCCUUGAGAGAGGGAGCCCAGAGAUGGACUCUGAGACAUGAGUCCAGGCCCUACGGGGCGCAGCAGUCGCGAAAACUUCGCAAUGGGGGCAACCCCGACGAGGGAAUUCCAAGUGCUAGCACUUUGUGUUAGCUGUUCUUCUGUCUAAAAAACAGGAGGAGUAAGGGGCGGGUAAGACGGGUGCCAGCCGCCGCGGUAAUACCCGCGCCCCAAGUGGUGGUCGAUAUUAUUGAGCCUAAAACGUCCGUAGCCGGUCUUCUAAAUCCUUGGGUAAAUCGGGCAGCUUAACUGUCCGAAGUCCGGGGAGACUGGGAGACUUGGGACCGGGAGAGGUCAGAGGUACUUCUGGGGUAGGGGUAAAAUCCUGUAAUCCUGGAAGGACCACCGGUGGCGAAGGCGUCUGACUAGAACGGAUCCGACGGUGAGGGACGAAGCCCUGGGGCGCAAACGGGAUUAGAUACCCCGGUAGUCCAGGGUGUAAACGCUGCGGGCUUGGUGUUGGGGGUCCUUAGUGGGCGCCCAGUGCCGG
rnacentral:rRNA from 1 species